AAAAAGGUAAGCUAAUAAAGCUUUUAGGUUCAUACCCUAAAUAUGUGGGUAAACUCCCCCCCUUCUUA
rnacentral:tRNA from 1 species